GUGUUCAGGCAUGAACCUGGGGAUGCUCGUCUGCUCGAAGUCCAACUCCGAUUCUGGCUUUGGAUUUGUCCCAUAGAGGGUGAAAGGCCCGUUCGAGCAGACAUAGUGGAUAUUGAGCAGCCCUCAGAUGUUCGUGCUUUCGAGUCGGAUUGCUUGAGAAUGCAGUCCAAAGCGGGUGGUAAACUCCAUCCAAGGCUAAAUACUGGCACGAGUCCGAUAGUAGACAAGUACCGUGAGGGAAAGUUGAAAAGUACUCUGAAGAGAGAGUAAAUAGUACGUGAAACCGAUUGUAUGGAAGCUGGUGGAGUCAAGCUUCUUGCUUUGGCUAUUGUCGUGGCUAUCACUUUGUUCUUGGGCUAUGGACAUUAUGGCUUGGAAAUAGCUGGUCGGUUCGCCGACUCGGUCAUUCCGGGCAGUGUGAUUGAUUGUGUCCUAUCGUCCGGUAGCUGCGUAUCUGUCAUUGCAAACAUCAAAAUCAAUGCGUUUGUGGUGUUCGGCCGUCUAACCACGUUAUAGAGGACCUCGUGUUCGCUGAGCGUGGGAAGGCAGGUGGUGGCAGUGAGACCUCGGUCGCGUUGUCACGUAUUAAUGAUUUCGAUCUGCUGAUUGCCGAGCAUUUACGACUAUCAAGUGCAUUGUUCUCAUGUUGACUGUCGCCCUCGGGUUGCAGUUGCAAGAAUUUUGAUGUCGAGGUAGACUUUCCACCCGACCCGUCUUGAAACACGGACCAAGGAGUUUAACAUGUGCGCGAGUCAAUGGGCUCUUACGAAACCCAGUGGCGAAAUGAAAGUGAAAGGUUACUUCUCGUAACUGAAGGUGUGACUCCUGCCAGUCCUGAACUGGGCUGUGGGAUGCAACACCGGCCCGUCUCGUAAUGUAGUCGUCCUGACCACGGUUGGGACGCGUCAUUGAGGCGGAGCAAGAGCGUACAUGUUGAGACC
rnacentral:rRNA from 1 species